GGUGCGGGCGGCGGAGCAGCGCGGGGAGUCCGAGUUUAUUGAGCGUGGGGCGGUAGCGGCCGCGAUAUUCUAUCCACGAGUAAACCGCUGGGACGAAAUGACGGGCAAAAAUUAACUCCCCCAUGGUAGAUUGUAUCCUGUGUUGCCAGACAGAAUAUUGGUUUGUAAGGGGUAGAGUUGUGGAGAGGAGACAGGAUUGAGCUCAGGAUUGUGCGUAUCAGGAAGGAUGGAGAAGGAGGAUAACAGUGCUUUAAAUUAAAUAGCACUGAUUGGGAGAAAGAGCUUAUUUUUACCAGAAGUUAUUGACACCAGCUAUGUGUCAGACACUGUCCUGGGCUCGUUAGGUAGAAAGAGUUAGCCCUCAAGAGUAUCUAAGAUUUGUUGUAUAGAUAAGCUACACAAAUUCACUGAACAACCACUUACCAGGUAUCUGAGAUGUGCUAAGCACUGGAAUACCAAGAUGAGUACAGCCGCAUCCUUGCUCAAGGUUUAGAGAAGAAAAUAAGACACAUUGUGAGAUGGGGACUGAAAAAAAGGAGGUGAUUCCAAAAGAAGAAAUUUCUGAAGAAUCUGAGUUUUAUGGGCCAACAUUAGAAAAACUUCCAAAGGUGGUUUACCAAGGUCAAGAGUUUGGAGCAGUAUGUGAAGAAGAAAUAUUAGAGGGACAUUCGAGAGAAUCCUCAGAAGAGAUUA